CCCUCCACCCCAUCCCCCCUCUUCUCCCCAAGGAGGGUAGGGCCCUCAACGGGGGCUCCCCAAAGUCCACUAAAUCAUCCUGAGCCAGGUCUAGGCCCUCCCCCAUGUGUCCAGGCCAAGAGAGCAUCCCUUCACGUGGGAUGGGCUCUCAAGGUCCCUUCUUACACCAGGGAAAAAUACUGAUCCACUACCAGGGGCCCCAUAGAGUGCCGAGGCCUCCUUAUUGACAUCCAUGUUCAGGGAUCUGGAUCAGUCCCAUGCUGGCCUCCCAGACAACAGUCUGGGGUCCAUGUGCUCCCCCUUGUUCAGGCCAGCUGUUGAUGUGGGUUUCACCAGCCUGGUCCCGACCCCCUUGAUCUUCAUUCCUCUCUCUCUGCAACUAGGUUCCAGAGUUCAGUUCAGUGUAUAGCUGUGGGUGUCUGCCUCUGCUUCCGUCAGCCACUGGAUGAGGGCUCUAGGAUGGCAUAAAAAGUAGUCAUCAGUCUCAUUAUAGGGGAAGGGAAUUUAGGGUAGCCUCUCUACCAUUGCCUAGAUUGUCAGUUUGUGUCAUCCUUGUAGAUCUCUGGAAAUCUCCCUAGUGCCAGAUCUCUCCUCGGACCUAUAAUGGCUCCUUCUGUUAUGGUAUCUCUCAUCCUGCUCUCCUCUAUUCUUCCCCCCACUCAACAUGGAGCAUGAGGGUACGGGAGAGGGAGCUGGCAGAAUAAGAGGAGAAGAAGAGGAGGGGAGAGGAGAAAAUUGAACUCAAAUUUUAAAGAAUUUGCCUCAUCCAUUCUUGACAUGAGUGUUUGCGCCUAAACUCAUUGCAUCUUGUUAUGCCAUGUUCAGUUGCUAUCCCUGGCAAGCCUGCUCUUUUCUCAAGGGAAACAGAGGAGGGGUGGGUCUGGGGGAGAGGGGAGGAAGGAGGUACUGAGAAGUGGAGUGGAGGGGGCAAGCCUGCUGUUGGGAUAUAUUUUAUGAGAGAAGAAUAAAGAAAAAAGAAAAACAAAGUUCCACUAAAUAUGCCACAUGGGGAACCAAGUCUUAAUCACAUGAGCCUUUUG
rnacentral:lncRNA from 1 species